AGAAGAGGGUACAGCUAAGGCUUCAUCCUGCUUUCCAAGGCUGAGAGGAAAGGAGCAGCAAAGCCACCGCUCCUGGCAGGUGCUGCUUCUGGGGAACCCCACCCCAGACUACGACUCUUCACAAGGGAGGCUUCUGGUACCCACAGCCACUGGAAAAUGCUGGGCAUUUGCUCCCAGCUCCCAUGUGUGUCUGUCACACAGAAGACAGGUCUCUGUGUCUGGCUGUCAGUUUGGUGGUGUGCCUCUAAGAUCCCUUCCUCCCUCCAGACACACCAGGAGUGACCCGUGACCUGGAAGAGAGGCCUCUUAGCUGAUUUAGAAUUCAGGUAAACUUGCCUUCAAAGUUUAUUAAUAGCCGAUACUCUUCACUGAUUCCUAACUGGAGUGUGCACUGGCACCACCAAGGGAGCAGAGAUUCCAUGUACAGCUGUGCUGGUUGCACACUGCACACAAGACCUGGCUGAGGUACUGUUCAUGGUCCAUGAAGAGGUCAGCCUGGAAGCAAGGAUAAGGACCAACUGCUAAGAAGAAUACUGAGUGUUUGGGGGGAAGAAAACAGCAUCCCAGAAACUCAAUUUGUGAUUAUUCAAGGAUUUUUUUUCACAAAGUGACUUAGUUCAAAUCUUAGUUUUACCAUUUACCAAGUAGUAUCUCAAGACCCUUUCUGUAAAAUAUGGAGUAAUUCCUACUGCAUCUUUCUAUAUGGAUUAAAGGAUCCAUAUAUUAAAGGAUUAAGAAUCCUUUCUAUAAAAGAUUACUGUGGGGCUGCCGCCAUGGUUCUUAUUGUUCAACUUUUCUUUGUUCUAACACCUACAUAACUGGUAGAUGUAAGCAUUUAGCUGUAGCAAGCACCAUCAAAGUAAGACCUUCAACCCAAGUGCACUGCCUGAAAAUGAAGGUGACAGCGAAUGUUCACAGGCACAUUUUGCUAGGAUGAACCGAUUUAUGCUUCUCAACAACCAUACAAGGCAAGUGUUACGACGAUUCUGUUUUUCAAAUAAGGAUACAGAGGCCCACUGAGCAUAAAGGAACUUGUUCAAGGUCACACAGCAACUUUGCCAAAGAGUGAGCAGUCAGGUUUGGCAGUCUGAUGUCAGAAUGCAAGCUCCCUCACUGGUUCUG